ACAACUUUCAGCAACGGAUCUCUUGGCUCUCGCAUCGAUGAAGAACGCAGCGAAAUGCGAUAAGUAGAAUUCAGUGAAUCAUCGAAUCUUUGAACGCACCUUGCGCUCCUUGGUAUUCCGAGGAGCAUGCCUGUUUGAGHGUCAUGAA
rnacentral:rRNA from 1 species